GAUGAACGCUGGCGGCGUGCCUAAUACAUGCAAGUCGAGCGAACAGGCGAGGAGCUUGCUCCUCUGACGUUAGCGGCGGACGGGUGAGUAACACGUGGAUAACCUACCUAUAAGACUGGGAUAACUUCGGGAAACCGGAGCUAAUACCGGAUAAUAUAUUGAACCGCAUGGUUCAAUAGUGAAAGACGGUUUUGCUGUCACUUAUAGAUGGAUCCGCGCCGCAUUAGCUAGUUGGUAAGGUAACGGCUUACCAAGGCGACGAUGCGUAGCCGACCUGAGAGGGUGAUCGGCCACGCUGGAACUGAGACACGGUCCAGACUCCUACGGGAGGCAGCAGUAGGGAAUCUUCCGCAAUGGGCGAAAGCCUGACGGAGCAACGCCGCGUGAGUGAUGAAGGUCUUCGGAUCGUAAAACUCUGUUAUUAGGGAAGAACAAAUGUGUAAGUAACUAUGCACGUCUUGACGGUACCUAAUCAGAAAGCCACGGCUAACUACGUG
rnacentral:rRNA from 1 species